UGGGGAAUUUUGGACAAUGGGGGCAACCCUGAUCCAGCCAUCCCGCGUGUGCGAUGAAGGCCUUCGGGUUGUAAAGCACUUUUGGCAGGAAAGAAACAGCCUGGGAUAAUACCCCCGGGCGACUGACGGUACCUGCAGAAUAAGCACCGGCUAACUACGUGCCAGCAGCCGCGGUAAAUACGUAGGGUGCAAAGCGUUAAUCGGAAUUACUGGGCGUAAAGCGUGCGCAGGCGGUUCGGAAAGAAAGGUGUGAAAUCCCAGGGCUUAACCUUGGAACUGCACUUUUAACUACCGACUAGAGUACGUCAGAGGGGGGUAGAAUUCCACGUGUAGCAGUGAAAAUGCGUAGAGAUGUGGAGGAAUACCGAUGGCGAAGGCAGCCCCCUGGGAUGAUACUGACGCUCAUGCACGAAAAGCGUGGGGAGCAAACAGGAUUAGAUACCCUGGUAGUCCACGCCCUAAACGAUGUCAACUAGUUGUUGGGGAUUCAUUUCCUUAGUAACGUAGCUAACGCGUG
rnacentral:rRNA from 1 species